UUAGAGUUUGAUCAUGGCUCAGAAUCAACGCUGGCGGCGUGCCUAACACAUGCAAGUCGAACGAGAAAGUGGAGCAAUCCAUGAGUAAAGUGGCGACCGGGUGAGUAACACGUGACUAACCUACCUUCAAGUGGGGGAUAACCUCGGGAAACCGGGGCUAAUACCGCAUAACAUCCUUAGAGUGGAAACUCCGGGGAUCAAGGAGCAAUUCGCUGGAAGAGGGGGUCGCGGCUGAUUAGCUAGUUGGCGGGGUAAUGGCCCACCAAGGCAGAGAUCGGUAGCCGGCCUGAGAGGGCGCACGGCCACACUGGAACUGAAACACGGUCCAGACUCCUACGGGAGGCAGCAGUGGGGAAUUUUGCGCAAUGGGGGAAACCCUGACGCAGCAACGCCGCGUGGAGGAUGAAGUCCCUUGGGACGUAAACUCCUUUCGACCGGGACGAUAAUGACGGUACCGGUGGAAGAAGCC
rnacentral:rRNA from 1 species